GUGGGGAAUCUUGCGCAAUGGGCGAAAGCCUGACGCAGCCAUGCCGCGUGAAUGAUGAAGGUCUUAGGAUUGUAAAAUUCUUUCACCGGGGACGAUAAUGACGGUACCCGGAGAAGAAGCCCCGGCUAACUUCGUGCCAGCAGCCGCGGUAAUACGAAGGGGGCUAGCGUUGCUCGGAAUUACUGGGCGUAAAGGGCGCGUAGGCGGACUGUUUAGUCAGAGGUGAAAGCCCAGGGCUCAAGCUUGGUAGUGCCUUUGAUACUGGCUGUCUUGAGUACGGGAGAGGUGAGUGGAACGCCGAGUGUAGAGGUGAAAUGCGUAGAGAUUCGGAGGAACACCAGUGGCGAAGGCGGCUCACUGGCUCGAUACUGACGCUGAGGUGCGAAAGCGUGGGGAGCAAACAGGAUUAGAAACCCGUGUAGUCC
rnacentral:rRNA from 1 species